rnacentral:lncRNA from 1 species
UAACAGAAAUUAGUUUCCCUUCAGCUGUUGAGCCGCUUCUCCAUCGUUCUGGGGCCUUCUAGAGUACUUGAAUCGUAUUGGAGGCCUAUCAUUACCCCCGGUUUCCAGAGACACCUUGUCCUCAAGGUGGACGUCGGGAAAGUGUUGCAAAAUGGAGUUUACUGAUUCUCAAGAAGCCUCUGACACAGGAAGAUCCUUCCAAAGGAUAAGUACUUCCUUUCCUGGAGGACGCCCAGGAGGUGCUUGACGUAUUCCCAGAACUUGUGCUGGUUCCACUACCCAUUCGAGGUCGGAACUUAGAUGAGGGGGAAUUAGUGGAUUGACGACCUUCUGCCCUAGGGCUCUUUUAAGCUAUGAAACAUGAAAAAUAGGAUGUAUUGCAGAGGAGGAGGGUAGCUUCAAAUGAUAUGCCACUGGGCCAACACGUUUCAGAAUUACAAAAGGACUAAAAUACUUAGACCCCAGCUUCUCGUUGGGCUUGUUUGCCAGUGAGCGUAGGCGAUAAGGUCGGAGCUUGAUGUAGACUAGGUCCCCUACGGCCAAUUGGAUGUUAUGACGAUGUUUAUUGGCUGUCAUUCUCAUCUUUUCCUGAGCACGACUGAGAUGAGACUUUAAUUCCUCUAACAUAUUAUCUCUGUCCUACAUCUGUUGUUCCACUGACUGUGAUACCAUGGUUUGAUUGCCAUAACGGAUCAAUGGUGGAGGGUCUCUUCCAUAAACUGCUCGAAACGGAGUAGUGUUGGUAGAUGCAUGGAAAGUCGUAUUAUACCAAUAUUCGGCCCAUGGCACCCAUGUGGACCAACUUCGAGGUUUGUCAAAAGAGAAACAACGGAGAAAUGUUUCGAGCACCUAUUGAUUAUCUUCGUCUGCCCAUCUGUCUGAGGGUGAUAGGUUGUACUUCGACGGAGGUGAGUUCCCUGAAGGCGAAAGAGCUUUGUCUAAAAGUGGCUCAUGAAGAUUUUGUCCCGAUCUGAAACAAUGGAGCUGAGAAUGCCAUGGAGUUGUACUCUCUCUCUCUGACAAAAAGGGCUGCAACACCUGAUGCCGUGUAGGAAUGUUUAAGCGGUAGGAAAUGAGCAUACUUAGACGGUCUACUACCACCAAUAAGGUAUCGAACCCCUUUGACUUCGGUAAUCCUUCGAUAAAAUCCAUUGAUAUGUCUUCUCACACCCUUUGAGGAUUAGGCAACGGUUGACGAAGACCUGUAGGUGAUAGUGCAAUUGUCUUAUUCUGCUGACAUACGGGACAUUCUUCCACAAACCUCUUAACAUCCUUCUUCAUUCCUUGCCAAUACAGUACACUUGCCAGCCUCUUAUAAGUACGCAGAAACCCUGAAUGUCCCCCGAUGGGGCUGCUGUGGAAUUCUUUAAGCAGAGUUAUUAUUAUAGGGGAAGAAUGGGAAAGCACUAGGCAUCCCUUGUACAAUAAUCUAUCCUGGUCAAGUGAAUAACGUGGAUGCGAGUCUGGGUCAAUUUACAGUUCUUUUUUUUUUUUUUAUCUUUGCAAGCCCCGGAUCUGCCCCCACUUGCUCUUGAAUUAGUUGCAUAUCCUCCAUGAUUGGGAAAGAGAUGGCUGAAGAUAAAUCCGGGAUAAGGCGUAUGCUACCUUAUUCUCCAUGCCUGGUUGAUAUUGAAUCUCAAAAUUGUACUCCAUGAGCUUGGUUACCCAAUGUUGGAAUUUCCCCGACACUACCUCUGCUCCAAAAGGUACUUAAUGCUGUGUUGGUCUGUUCGGACUAUGAACCGACGUCCCAAUAAAUAAUGUCUCCAUUUCUGUAUAGCUAAUACCAUCGCCAUUAGCUCUCUUUUGUAAACUGACUUUUGCUGGGAGCGUGAGGAUAGAACCUGACUGUAAUAGGUGAUUGGCUACUUAUCUUGCAUUAGAACUGCCCCUAAGCCAUGCCCCGAUGUGUCGGCUUCGACCACAAAUACUUUGGAAAAAUCUGGUAGUGCCAACAUAGGAACUGUUGUCAUUGCUUUCUUAAGUUGUUGAAAUGCUUCCUUCGCUUCUUGAUUCCACCUGAAUGCAUCCUUUUUAAGUUGUUAAGUGAGGGGCCAUGAUAUCGUCUCGUAUCCAGAUACGAACCUUCGAUAAUAUCUGGUUAACCUUAGAAAUCCCCGAAGUUCCUUGAGGGUCUGGGUUGUUGGCCUUUUAACAUUGCAUCUAUUUUGCUAGGAUCGGCAGCAACUUUUCUUGCAGAGACCAGAUGUCCCAAGUAUUCAAUUUUGGUUUGGAUGAAUAGACAUUUCUUGGUAUUGGAGUGUAACUGAUGUGAACUUAAGGCAUGAAAUACCACCUCCAAGUGCUGCACAUGUAAGUCCAUAUCCUUGCUGAAAACCAGGAUGUCAUCGAAUAAUACUAAGACAAAUUUCCUUAAAUAGGUUCUGAACACUUCAUUCAUCAGAGACUAGAAGGUGGCAGGUGCAUUAGUGAGAUCGAAUGGCAUGACUAGAAACUCAUAAUGGCCUUGGUACGUUCGGAACGCAGUUUUGUGUACAUCUUCCUUCUAUACUCUGAUCGGAUGGUAUCUUAGCUUCAAGCCCAAUUUAGAAAAGAUUGUCGCUCUGUGUAAUUCAUCCAGUAAUUCAUCUAUGACGAGGAUCAGAAACUUAUCUGGAAUAGUAGCUUUGUUGAGAGCUUGAUAAUCCACGCAAAAAUGCCAACUGCCAUCUUUUUUUCUCACAAGUAACACUGGGCUAGAGAAAGGGCUUAUGAUGGGUUGUAUGAUGCCUCUGCUAGCAUUUCUCGCACCAAUCUUUCUAUCUCAUUUUUUUUAAUGUACGGGUAUUUAUAGAGCCUGACAUUUAUCGGCUCCGUCCUCUCCUUUAGUCUGAUUGCAUGAUUGACAUUCCUUGCAGGUGGCAAACCUUCUGGUUCCUGGAAUGCCUACUGAAAUUGUUGUAGUAACAGUUUUAUGCAGGUUGGUGGCUCCUCUUUCCCCUUGCUAUGCGUAUUUUUCAGCACGUCUUCC